GGUUAAGCGACUAAGCGUACACGGUGGAUGCCCUGGCAGUCAGAGGCGAUGAAGGACGUGCUAAUCUGCGAAAAGCGUCGGUAAGGUGAUAUGAACCGUUAUAACCGGCGAUGUCCGAAUGGGGAAACCCAGUGCAAUUCGUUGCACUAUCGUUAACUGAAUACAUAGGUUAACGAGGCGAACCGGGGGAACUGAAACAUCUAAGUACCCCGAGGAAAAGAAAUCAACCGAGAUUCCCCCAGUAGCGGCGAGCGAACGGGGAGCAGCCCAGAGUCUGAAUCAGCUUGUGUGUUAGUGGAACGGUCUGGAAAGUCCGACGGUACAGGGUGAUAGUCCCGUACACCAAAAUGCACAGGUUGUGAACUCGAAGAGUAGGGCGGGACACGUGGUAUCCUGUCUGAAUAUGGGGGGACCAUCCUCCAAGGCUAAAUACUCCUGACUGACCGAUAGUGAACCAGUACCGUGAGGGAAAGGCGAAAAGAACCCCGGCGAGGGGAGUGAAAAAGAACCUGAAACCGUGUACGUACAAGCAGUGGGAGCACCUUCGGGUGUGACUGCGUACCUUUUGUAUAAUGGGUCAGCGACUUAUAUUCUGUAGCAAGGUUAACCGUAUAGGGGAGCCGCAGGGAAACCGAGUCUUAACUGGGCGUUAAGUUGCAGGGUAUAGACCCGAAACCCGGUGAUCUAGCCAUGGGCAGGUUGAAGGUUGGGUAACACUAACUGGAGGACCGAACCGACUAAUGUUGAAAAAUUAGCGGAUGACUUGUGGCUGGGGGUGAAAGGCCAAUCAAACCGGGAGAUAGCUGGUUCUCCCCGAAAGCUAUUUAGGUAGCGCCUCGUGAACUCAUCUUCGGGGGUAGAGCACUGUUUCGGCUAGGGGGUCAUCCCGACUUACCAACCCGAUGCAAACUACGAAUACCGAAGAAUGUUAUCACGGGAGACACACGGCGGGUGCUAACGUCCGUCGUGAAGAGGGAAACAACCCAGACCGCCAGCUAAGGUCCCAAAGUCAUGGUUAAGUGGGAAACGAUGUGGGAAGGCACAGACAGCCAGGAUGUUGGCUUAGAAGCAGCCAUCAUUUAAAGAAAGCGUAAUAGCUCACUGGUCGAGUCGGCCUGCGCGGAAGAUGUAACGGGGCUAAACCAUGCACCGAAGCUGCGGCAGCGACACGAUGUGUUGUUGGGUAGGGGAGCGUUCUGUAAGCCUGCGAAGGUGGCCUGUGAGGGUUGCUGGAGGUAUCAGAAGUGCGAAUGCUGACAUAAGUAACGAUAAAGCGGGUGAAAAGCCCGCUCGCCGGAAGACCAAGGGUUCCUGUCCAACGUUAAUCGGGGCAGGGUGAGUCGACCCCUAAGGCGAGGCCGAAAGGCGUAGUCGAUGGGAAACAGGUUAAUAUUCCUGUACUUGGUGUUACUGCGAAGGGGGGACGGAGAAGGCUAUGUUAGCCGGGCGACGGUUGUCCCGGUUUAAGCAUGUAGGCUGGUUAUCCAGGCAAAUCCGGAUAAUCAAGGCUGAGGUGUGAUGACGAGGCACUACGGUGCUGAAGUAACAAAUGCCCUGCUUCCAGGAAAAGCCUCUAAGCAUCAGGUAACAUCAAAUCGUACCCCAAACCGACACAGGUGGUCAGGUAGAGAAUACCAAGGCGCUUGAGAGAACUCGGGUGAAGGAACUAGGCAAAAUGGUGCCGUAACUUCGGGAGAAGGCACGCUGGUGUGUAGGUGAAGUCCCUGCGGAUGGAGCUGAGACCAGUCGAAGAUACCAGCUGGCUGCAACUGUUUAUUAAAAACACAGCACUGUGCAAACACGAAAGUGGACGUAUACGGUGUGACGCCUGCCCGGUGCCGGAAGGUUAAUUGAUGGGGUUAUCCGUAAGGAGAAGCUCUUGAUCGAAGCCCCGGUAAACGGCGGCCGUAACUAUAACGGUCCUAAGGUAGCGAAAUUCCUUGUCGGGUAAGUUCCGACCUGCACGAAUGGCGUAAUGAUGGCCAGGCUGUCUCCACCCGAGACUCAGUGAAAUUGAACUCGCUGUGAAGAUGCAGUGUACCCGCGGCAAGACGGAAAGACCCCGUGAACCUUUACUAUAGCUUGACACUGAACAUUGAGCCUUGAUGUGUAGGAUAGGUGGGAGGCUUUGAAGCGUGGACGCCAGUCUGCGUGGAGCCAACCUUGAAAUACCACCCUUUAAUGUUUGAUGUUCUAACGUGGGCCCCUGACCGGGGUUGCGGACAGUGUCUGGUGGGUAGUUUGACUGGGGCGGUCUCCUCCCAAAGCGUAACGGAGGAGCACGAAGGUUAGCUAAUCCUGGUCGGACAUCAGGAGGUUAGUGCAAUGGCAUAAGCUAGCUUGACUGCGAGCGUGACGGCGCGAGCAGGUGCGAAAGCAGGUCAUAGUGAUCCGGUGGUUCUGAAUGGAAGGGCCAUCGCUCAACGGAUAAAAGGUACUCCGGGGAUAACAGGCUGAUACCGCCCAAGAGUUCAUAUCGACGGCGGUGUUUGGCACCUCGAUGUCGGCUCAUCACAUCCUGGGGCUGAAGUAGGUCCCAAGGGUAUGGCUGUUCGCCAUUUAAAGUGGUACGCGAGCUGGGUUUAGAACGUCGUGAGACAGUUCGGUCCCUAUCUGCCGUGGGCGCUGGAGAAUUGAGGGGGGCUGCUCCUAGUACGAGAGGACCGGAGUGGACGCAUCACUGGUGUUCGGGUUGUCAUGCCAAUGGCACUGCCCGGUAGCUAAAUGCGGAAGAGAUAAGUGCUGAAAGCAUCUAAGCACGAAACUUGCCCCGAGAUGAGUUCUCCCUGAGACUAUAAGUCUCCUGAAGGAACGUUGAAGACGACGACGUUGAUAGGCCGGGUGUGUAAGCGCAGCGAUGCGUUGAGCUAACCGGUACUAAUGAACCGUGAGGCUUAACCUU
rnacentral:rRNA from 1 species